GAUGAACGCUGGCGGCGUGCCUAAUACAUGCAAGUCGAGCGAACGGACGAGAAGCUUGCUUCUCUGAUGUUAGCGGCGGACGGGUGAGUAACACGUGGAUAACCUACCUAUAAGACUGGGAUAACUUCGGGAAACCGGAGCUAAUACCGGAUAAUAUUUUGAACCGCAUGGUUCAAAAGUGAAAGAUGGUCUUGCUGUCACUUAUAGAUGGAUCCGCGCUGCAUUAGCUAGUUGGUAAGGUAACGGCUUACCAAGGCAACGAUGCAUAGCCGACCUGAGAGGGUGAUCGGCCACACUGGAACUGAGACACGGUCCAGACUCCUACGGGAGGCAGCAGUAGGGAAUCUUCCGCAAUGGGCGAAAGCCUGACGGAGCAACGCCGCGUGAGUGAUGAAGGUCUUCGGAUCGUAAAACUCUGUUAUUAGGGAAGAACAUAUGUGUAAGUAACUGUGCACAUCUUGACGGUACCUAAUCAGAAAGCCACGGCUAACUACGUG
rnacentral:rRNA from 1 species